rnacentral:rRNA from 1 species
AGUGAACGCUGGCGGUAGGCCUAACACAUGCAAGUCGAACGGCAGCACAGUAAGAGCUUGCUCUUACGGGUGGCGAGUGGCGGACGGGUGAGGAAUACAUCGGAAUCUACUUUUUCGUGGGGGAUAACGUAGGGAAACUUACGCUCAUACCGCAUACGACCUACGGGUGAAAGCAGGGGAUCUUUGGACCUUGCGCGAUUGAAUGAGCCGAUGUCGGAUUAGCUAGUUGGCGGGGUAAAGGCCCACCAAGGCGACGAUCCGUAGCUGGUCGGAGAGGAUGAUCAGCCACACUGGAACUUAGACACGGACCAGACUCCUACGAGAGGCAGCAGUGGGGAAUAUUGGACAAUGGGCGCAAGCCUGAUCCAGCCAUACCGCGUGUGUGAAGAAGGCCUUCGGGUUGUAAAGCCCUUUUGUUGGGAAAGAAAAGCAGCAGGUUAAUACCCCGCUGUUCUGACGGUACCCAAAGAAUAAGCACCGGCUAACUUCGUG